rnacentral:rRNA from 1 species
UACGUAGGUGGCAAGCGUUGUCCGGAAUUACUGGGCGUAAAGCGUGCGCAGGCGGCUUUGCAAGACAGAUGUGAAAUCCCCGGGCUCAACCUGGGAACUGCAUUUGUGACUGCAAGGCUGGAGUACGGCAGAGGGGGAUGGAAUUCCGCGUGUAGCAGUGAAAUGCGUAGAUAUGCGGAGGAACACCGAUGGCGAAGGCAAUCCCCUGGGCCUGUACUGACGCUCAUGCACGAAAGCGUGGGGAGCAAACAGG